AUUGAACGCUGGCGGCAUGCUUUACACAUGCCAGUCGAACGGUAACAGGCCUUCGGGUGCUGACGAGUGGCGAACGGGUGAGUAAUGCAUCGGAACGUACCCAGAGGUGGGGGAUAACGCAGCGAAAGCUGUGCUAAUACCGCAUGUGAUCUGAGGAUGAAAGCGGGGGACCGAGCAGCAAUGUUUGGCCUCGCGCCUUUGGAGCGGCCGAUGUCGGAUUAGCUAGUUGGUGGGGUAAAGGCCUACCAAGGCGACGAUCCGUAGCUGGUCUGAGAGGACGACCAGCCACACUGGGACUGAGACACGGCCCAGACUCCUACGGGAGGCAGCAGUGGGGAAUUUUGGACAAUGGGCGCAAGCCUGAUCCAGCAAUGCCGCGUGCGGGAAGAAGGCCUUCGGGUUGUAAACCGCUUUUGGCGGGAACGAAACGGUGUCCGCUAAUACCGGGCGCUAAUGACGGUACCUGCAGAAUAAGCACCGGCUAACUACGUG
rnacentral:rRNA from 1 species